GAUGAACGCUGGCGGCGUGCCUAAUACAUGCCAGUCGAGCGAACGGACGAGAAGCUUGCUUCUCUGAUGUUAGCGGCGGACGGGUGAGUAACACGUGGAUAACCUACCUAUAAGACUGGGAUAACUUCGGGAAACCGUAGCUAAUACCGGAUAAUAUUUUGAACCGCAUGGUUCAAAAGUGAAAGACGGUCUUGCUGUCACUUAUAGAUGGAUCCGCGCUGCAUUAGCUAGUUGGUAAGGUAACGGCUUACCAAGGCAACGAUGCAUAGCCGACCUGAGAGGGUGAUCGGCCACACUGGAACUGAGACACGGUCCAGACUCCUACGGGAGGCAGCAGUAGGGAAUCUUCCGCAAUGGGCGAAAGCCUGACGGAGCAACGCCGCGUGAGUGAUGAAGGUCUUCGGAUCGUAAAACUCUGUUAUUAGGGAAGAACAUAUGUGUAAGUAACUGUGCACAUCUUGACGGUACCUAAUCAGAAAGCCACGGCUAACUACGU
rnacentral:rRNA from 1 species